AACCGCGUCGGCGUCUGCUUUUAACCUGUGGGAGAACUGGGCGAGCUAAGCCAAACGGAGGGCGGGAGAAAGGAAGCGGCAGCCGGCGCCUCUCGGCAACUCUAACCGUCUGGUAGAGAUCGCCAAGAUUGGUAUCCAUAGAGCUUGCUGUGGUUUGAAUGUAUCCCCCAAAGUUCAUGUGUUGGAAACUUUAUUCUUAAUGCAAAAGUGUUAAGAGGAAACAUCUGGAAACCCCUUGGAGGAGAUCUGCCACGUGGCCUCCAGUGAACUGUAGACUCCUGCAUAGCCUUCCAAAGUUCUUCAUUUGACAUUGGAUAGAAAAGCACUGUGGAAAUCCCUAUCCUGUUUUGUUCAGAUCGAAUUACCGGUGCAUGCAGCCCCCAGACACGUACCCCCUGCUUGCUCAAUCGAUCACGACCCUCUCACACGCACCCCCUUAGAGUUGUGAGCCCUUAAAAGGGACAGGAAUUGCUCA